UAAGCGGAGGAAAAGAAACUAACAAGGAUUCCCCUAGUAACUGCGAGUGAAGCGGGAAAAGCUCAAAUUUAAAAUCUGGUGGUCUUUGNNCAUUCGAGUUGUAAUUUAGAGAAGCGUCUUCCGCGCUGGACCGUGCACAAGUCUCCUGGAAUGGAGCGUCAUAGAGGGUGAGAAUCCCGUCUUUGGCACGGACACACCAGGGCUUUUGUGAUGCGCUCUCGAAGAGUCGAGUUGUUUGGGAAUGCAGCUCAAAAUGGGUGGUGAACUCCAUCUAAAGCUAAAUAUUGGCGAGAGACCGAUAGCGAACAAGUACCGUGAGGGAAAGAUGAAAAGCACUUUGGAAAGAGAGUGAAACAGUACGUGAAAUUGUUGAAAGGGAAACGCUUGAAGUCAGUCACGUCGACCGAGACUCAGCCUUGCCUUGGCUUGGUGUACUUCUCGGCUGACGGGUCAGCAUCAAUUUUGCCCCCUGGAUAAUGGCGAGGGAAAUGUGACACCUUUACGGUGUGUUAUAGUCUCUCGUCGCAUGCAAGGGUUGGGAUUGAGGAACUCAGCACGCGCCUUUGGGUGUCGGGGCUUUGCCCACGAUACGUGCUUAGGAUGUUGGCAUAAUGGCUUUAAACGACC
rnacentral:rRNA from 1 species